GAUGACUGAAGCAGCAGAGAACUUGGUGUCUGAAGAAUGGCUACAGUGUUGCUUUAGUGGAGGGAGAGCCUUGCGGUUGUUGGUGUGACCCAGGGGCAGUUGAACCGUGUAUGGAGCUGAGUUUAAGCUGCUAUGCAGGUGCCCCCUGGGCUUCUCCAUCAGCCAGUCCUGCUCCUCCCCACCACAGCUGCUGCUGAGUACAAGGCAGGAGUGAAGCGCCAAGUCCAGCCGCCUUCCACAGCCUGGCUGGAGGAGGAGGGAGGAGAGAAAUGUGACAAAGUACACAAACUCUGGAUGGAGAAUCAGCUAUGGAUUUCUGAACUAUACCACUACUUAAUUGCAGAUACAAGGGAAAUAAUCUUAACAUGACAUAUUAAAGAAAAGGAAAUUUGACACCCCCCCCCCACAAUAUAGUACUCAUCCUCUGAUCAUUUCUUUCCUCCUAAUGAUCUAAAUAAAAUAUUUUCCUGCAUUUUAAAA